GACGAACGCUGGCGGCGUGCUUAACACAUGCAAGUCGAACGGAAAGGCCCUGCUUUUGUGGGGUGCUCGAGUGGCGAACGGGUGAGUAACACGUGAGUAACCUGCCCUUGACUUUGGGAUAACUUCAGGAAACUGGGGCUAAUACCGGAUAGGAGCUCCUGCUGCAUGGUGGUGGUUGGAAAGUUUCGGCGGUUGGGGAUAGACUCGCGGCUUAUCAGCUUGUUGGUGGGGUAGUGGCUUACCAAGGCUUUGACGGGUAGCCGGCCUGAGAGGGUGACCGGCCACAUUGGGACUGAGAUACGGCCCAGACUCCUACGGGAGGCAGCAGUGGGGAAUAUUGCACAGUGGGCGGAAGCCUGAUGCAGCAACGCCGCGUGCGGGAUGACGGCCUUCGAGUUGUAAACCGCUUUCGCCUGUGACGAAGCGUGAGUGACGGUAAUGGGUAAAGAAGCACCGGCUAACUACGUG
rnacentral:rRNA from 1 species